rnacentral:misc_RNA from 2 species
AAGUCGUAACAAGGUUUCCGUAGGUGAACCUGCGGAAGGAUCAUUAACCUUUCAAAUCAGGGUGCGUCGCGGCCCCCGAGGAGCGGAAACAAUCCUUGGGAGGUUUGCGGAGUCUUCGGACCCCUUAACGCACGCACGACUGCCAUCCUUACUUUACGAGCACCUUCUGUUCUCCCUCGGCGGGGCAACCUGCCGUUGGAACCGAAUAAACUCUUUUUGCAUCUAGCAUUACCUGUUCCGAAACAAACAAUCGUUACAACUUUCAACAAUGGAUCUCUUGGCUCUG